GUGGGGAAUCUUCCGCAAUGGACGAAAGUCUGACGGAGCAACGCAGCGUGAGUGAUGAAGGUCUUCGGAUUGUAAAGCUCUGUUAAUCGGGUCGAAAGAGCCUAGUGUGAAUAAUGCUAGGAAGUGACGGUACCGGAAUAGAAAGCCACGGCUAACUACGUGCCAGCAGCCGCGGUAAUACGUAGGUGGCAAGCGUUGUCCGGAAUUAUUGGGCGUAAAGCGCGCGCAGGCGGAUCUGCCAGUCUGUCUUAAAAGUUCGGGGCUUAACCCCGUGAUGGGAUGGAAACUACAGAUCUAGAGUAUCGGAGAGGAAAGUGGAAUUCCUAGUGUAGCGGUGAAAUGCGUAGAUAUUAGGAAGAACACCAGUGGCGAAGGCGACUUUCUGGACGAAAGCUGACGCUGAGGCGCGAAAGCCAGGGGAGCGAACGGGAUUAGAUACCCGUGUAGUCC
rnacentral:rRNA from 1 species